GCUCAGCCCAGACCUCUGCUCCUGGGACCAGCAAACAACGAGGAAGUGGACACCAGCCCUCCAGCAGACAGGUGACUGCAGGCCCAGCCCAAUUCAGGAGCCAGAAAGCCUGAACUGAGGUCUCAAGUCUUAACAUGACUGUGGGCUCUCGAAGGUCACCCUGUCACCCCCCUAGUGCCCCGGGCAGCAGGUGCUCCAGUAAAUACACACUGAGAAAAAUAAAGGGGCGGACGGAUCAACAGCCGGAUGGAUGGAGAGAGAAUCGUGAUGCCACCUUGUCGCCAGCACCUCACAGGCCAGCUGAGACGUCAAGAGUCCCCUAAAAUAAUCCACAAGUGCAGAAAACAACCUUUUCUUGAAUUUCAAA